rnacentral:rRNA from 1 species
CGGCAGCGCGGGGCAACCUGGCGGCGAGUGGCGAACGGGUGAGUAAUAUAUCGGAACGUACCCAGAAGUGGGGGAUAACGUAGCGAAAGUUACGCUAAUACCGCAUACGAUCUACGGAUGAAAGUGGGGGACCUUCGGGCCUCAUGCUUUUGGAGCGGCCGAUAUCUGAUUAGCUAGUUGGUGAGGUAAAGGCCCACCAAGGCGACGAUCAGUAGCUGGUCUGAGAGGACGACCAGCCACACUGGAACUGAGACACGGUCCAGACUCCUACGGGAGGCAGCAGUGGGGAAUUUUGGACAAUGGGCGCAAGCCUGAUCCAGCAAUGCCGCGUGAGUGAAGAAGGCCUUCGGGUUGUAAAGCUCUUUUGUCAGGGAAGAAACGGCUGCGGCUAAUAACUGCGGCUAAUGACGGUACCUGAAGAAUAAGCACCGGCUAACUACGUGCCAGCAGCCGCGGUAAUACGUAGGGUGCAAGCGUUAAUCGGAAUUACUGGGCGUAAAGCGUGCGCAGGCGGUUUUGUAAGUCUGUCGUGAAAGCCCCGGGCUCAACCUGGGAAUUGCGAUGGAGACUGCAAGGCUUGAAUCUGGCAGAGGGGGGUAGAAUUCCACGUGUAGCAGUGAAAUGCGUAGAGAUGUGGAGGAACACCGAUGGCGAAGGCAGCCCCCUGGGUCAAGAUUGACGCUCAUGCACGAAAGCGUGGGGAGCAAACAGGAUUAGAUACCCUGGUAGUCCACGCCCUAAACGAUGUCUACUAGUUGUC